AUUGAACGCUGGCGGCAGGCCUAACACAUGCAAGUCGAGCGGCAGCGGGGAGUAGCUUGCUACUCUGCCGGCGAGCGGCGGACGGGUGAGUAAAGUCUGGGGAUCUGGCUUAUGGAGGGGGAUAACCAUUGGAAACGGUGGCUAAUACCGCAUGAUGUCGCAAGACCAAAGUGGGGGACUUUAGGGCCUCACGCCAUAAGAUGAACCCAGAUGAGAUUAGCUAGUAGGUGCGGUAAUGGCGUACCUAGGCGACGAUCUCUAGCUGGUCUGAGAGGAUGACCAGCCACACUGGAACUGAGAGACGGUCCAGACUCCUACGGGAGGCAGCAGUGGGGAAUAUUGCACAAUGGGCGGAAGCCUGAUGCAGCCAUGCCGCGUGUGUGAAGAAGGCCUUAGGGUUGUAAAGCACUUUCAGCGGGGAGGAAGGCGGUAAGAGUAAUAUGCUUAUCGAUUGACGUUACCCGCAAAAGAAGCACCGGCUAACUCCGUGCCAGCAGCCGCGGUAAUACGGAGGGUGCGAGCGUUAAUCGGAAUAACUGGGCGUAAAGGGCAUGUAGGCGGUAAGUUAAGUCAGAUGUGAAAUCCCCGAGCUUAACUUGGGAACGGCAUUUGAGACUGGCUGGCUAGAGUUUUGUAGAGGGGGGUAGAAUUCCAGGUGUAGCGGUGAAAUGCGUAGAGAUCUGGAGGAAUACCGGUUGCGAAGGCGGCCCCCUGGACAAGGACUGACGCUGAGGUGCGAAAGCGUGGGUAGCAAACAGGAUUAGAUACCCUGGUAGUCCACGCUGUAAACGAUGUCGAUUUGGAGGUUGUGGCCUAGUGUUAUGGCGUCCGAAGCUAACGCGAUAAAUCGACCGCCUGGGGAGUACGGCCGCAAGGUUAAAAUCAAAUGAAUUGACGGGGCCCGCACAAGCGGUGGAGCAUGUGGUUUAAUUCGAUGCAACGCGAAGAAUUUACGUACUCUUGACAUCCACGGAAUUGAGCAGAGAUGCUUAAGUGUUUUCGGGAGCCGUGAGACAGGUGCUGCAUGGCUGUCGUCAGCUCGUGUUGUGAAAUGUUGGGUUAAGUCCCGCAACGAGCGCAACCCUUGUCCUUUGUUGCCAGCACGUGAUGGUGGGAACUCAAAGGAGACUGCCGGUGAUAAACCGGAGGAAGGUGGGGAUGACGUCAAGUCAUCAUGGCCCUUACGAGUAGGGCUACACACGUGCUACAAUGGCUCAUACAAAGAGCGGCGAGCGUGCGAACGUAAGCGAACCUCAUAAAGUGCGUCGUAGUCCGGAUUGGAGUUUGCAACUCGACUCCAUGAAGUCGGAAUCGCUAGUAAUCGUGGAUCAGAAUGCUACGGUGAAUACGUUCCCGGGCCUUGUACACACCGCCCGUCACACCAUGGGAGUGGGCGGCAAAAGAAGUAGGUAGCUUAACCUUCGGGGGGGCGCUUACCACUUUGUGGUUCAUGACUGGGGUG
rnacentral:rRNA from 1 species